rnacentral:rRNA from 1 species
AGUCGACCCCUAAGGCGAGGCCGAAAGGCGUAGUCGAUGGGAAACAGGUUAAUAUUCCUGUACUUGGUGUUACUGCGAAGGGGGGACGGAGAAGGCUAUGUUGGCCGGGCGACGGUUGUCCCGGUUUAAGCGUGUAGGCUGGUUUUCCAGGCAAAUCCGGAAAAUCAAGGCUGAGGCGUGAUGACGAGGCACUACGGUGCUGAAGCAACAAAUGCCCUGCUUCCAGGAAAAGCCUCUAAGCAUCAGGUAACAUCAAAUCGUACCCCAAACCGACACAGGUGGUCAGGUAGAGAAUACCAAGGCGCUUGAGAGAACUCGGGUGAAGGAACUAGGCAAAAUGGUGCCGUAACUUCGGGAGAAGGCACGCUGAUAUGUAGGUGAAGUCCCUCGCGGAUGGAGCUGAAAUCAGUCGAAGAUACCAGCUGGCUGCAACUGUUUAUUAAAAACACAGCACUGUGCAAACACGAAAGUGGACGUAUACGGUGUGACGCCUGCCCGGUGCCGGAAGGUUAAUUGAUGGGGUUAGCCGCAAGGCGAAGCUCUUGAUCGAAGCCCCGGUAAACGGCGGCCGUAACUAUAACGGUCCUAAGGUAGCGAAAUUCCUUGUCGGGUAAGUUCCGACCUGCACGAAUGGCGUAAUGAUGGCCAGGCUGUCUCCACCCGAGACUUAGUGAAAUUGAACUCGCUGUGAAGAUGCAGUGUACCCGCGGCAAGACGGAAAGACCCCGUGAACCUUUACUAUAGCUUGACACUGAACAUUGAGCCUUGAUGUGUAGGAUAGGUGGGAGGCUUUGAAGUGUGGACGCCAGUCUGCAUGGAGCCGACCUUGAAAUACCACCCUUUAAUGUUUGAUGUUCUAACGUUGACCCGUGAUCCGGGUUGCGGACAGUGUCUGGUGGGUAGUUUGACUGGGGCGGUCUCCUCCUAAAGAGUAACGGAGGAGCACGAAGGUUGGCUAAUCCUGGUCGGACAUCAGGAGGUUAGUGCAAUGGCAUAAGCCAGCUUGACUGCGAGCGUGACGGCGCGAGCAGGUGCGAAAGCAGGUCAUAGUGAUCCGGUGGUUCUGAAUGGAAGGGCCAUCGCUCAACGGAUAAAAGGUACUCCGGGGAUAACAGGCUGAUACCGCCCAAGAGUUCAUAUCGACGGCGGUGUUUGGCACCUCGAUGUCGGCUCAUCACAUCCUGGGGCUGAAGUAGGUCCCAAGGGUAUGGCUGUUCGCCAUUUAAAGUGGUACGCGAGCUGGGUUUAGAACGUCGUGAGACAGUUCGGUCCCUAUCUGCCGUGGGCGCUGGAGAACUGAGGGGGGCUGCUCCUAGUACGAGAGGACCGGAGUGGACGCAUCACUGGUGUUCGGGUUGUCAUGCCAAUGGCACUGCCCGGUAGCUAAAUGCGGAAGAGAUAAGUGCUGAAAGCAUCUAAGCACGAAACUUGCCCCGAGAUGAGUUCUCCCUGACUCCUUGAGAGUCCUGAAGGAACGUUGAAGACGACGACGUUGAUAGGCCGGGUGUGUAAGCGCAGCGAUGCGUUGAGCUAACCGGUACUAAUGAACCGUGAGGCUUAACCUU